rnacentral:rRNA from 1 species
UACGUAGGGUGCAAGCGUUAAUCGGAAUUACUGGGCGUAAAGCGUGCGCAGGCGGUUGUGCAAGACAGAUGUGAAAUCCCCCGGGCUCAACCUGGGAACCUGGCAUCUGUGACUGCAUAGCUAGAGUACGGUAGAGGGGGGAUGGAAUUCCGCGUGUAGCAGUGAAAUGCGUAGAUAUGCGGAGGAACACCGAUGGCGAAGGCAAUCCCCUGGACCUGUACUGACGCU